rnacentral:rRNA from 1 species
GACGAACGCUGGCGGCGUGCUUAACACAUGCAAGUCGAACGGAAAGGCCCUGCUUUUGUGGGGUGCUCGAGUGGCGAACGGGUGAGUAACACGUGAGUAACCUGCCCUUGACUUUGGGAUAACUUCAGGAAACUGGGGCUAAUACCGGAUAGGAGCUCCUGCUGCAUGGUGGGGGUUGGAAAGUUUCGGCGGUUGGGGAUGGACUCGCGGCUUAUCAGCUUGUUGGUGGGGUAGUGGCUUACCAAGGCUUUGACGGGUAGCCGGCCUGAGAGGGUGACCGGCCAGAAUGGGACUUAGAUGCGGGCGAGACUCCUACGGGAGGCAACAGUGGGGAAUAUUGCACAAUGGGCGGAAGCCGGAUGCAGCAACGCCGCGUGCGGGAUGACGGCCUUCGGGUUGUAAACCGCUUUCGCCUGUGACGAAGCGUGAGUGACGGUAAUGGGUAAAGAAGCACCGGCUAACUACGUG